CCAGGAAUCCACCCUAGGAUCCACCCCUGGAACCCAUCCCAGGAAUCCAUUGCUGGGAUCAAUCCCAGGAAUCCACCCCAGGAUCCACCCCAGGAUCCAUUGCUGGGAUCCAUCCCAGGAAUCCACCCCUGGAACCCAUCCCAGGGAUCAAUCCCAGGAAUCCACCCUAGGAAUCCAUCCCAGAAUCCACCCCAGGAUCCAUCGCUGGGAUCCAUCCCAGGGAUCCAUUCCAGGAAUCCAUCCCAGAACCCAUCCCAAAAUUCACCCCAGGAUCCACCCCAGGAUCCAUCCCAGGAAUUCAUCCCAGGGAUCAAUCCCAGGAAUCCAUCCCAGGGAUCCACCCCAGGAUCCAUCCCAGGAAUCCACCCCAGGAUCCAUUCCAGGAAUCCACCCCAGGAUCCAUUCCAGGGAUCCACCCCAGGAUCCAUCACUGGGAUCCAUUCCAGGGAUCCACCCCAGAAUCCAUCCCAGGAAUCCAUCGCUGGGAUCCACCCCAGGGAUCCACCCCAGGAAUCCACCCCUGGAACCCAUCCCAGGAACCCAUCCCAGGAAUCCACCCCAGGAAUCCACCCCAGGAAUCCAUCCCAGGAAUCCAUCCCAAAAUCCACCCCAGGAUCCAUUCCAGGGAUCCACCCCAGAAUCCAUCCCAGGAAUCCAUCGCUGGGAUCCACCCCAGAAUCCACCCCAGGAUCCACCCCAGGAUCCACCCACACCACCCGCCACGGUUGCUAAAAGAAUAAACAACAAAACCACAAACAAACAAAACCCACAAAAAAAAAAAAACAACAAAACCAAGAACAACAAACAAAGAAAAGCAGAAAACAACAAAAAAAAACCACACAAAAAGAAAAAAAAGAGAAGCCUUUGUAAAUUUCUUU
rnacentral:lncRNA from 1 species